rnacentral:rRNA from 1 species
CCAAUAGCGUAUAUUAAAGUUGUUGCAGUUAAAAAGCUCGUAGUUGAAUUUCGGGAUUUGUCAGUUGGUCGGGCUUAACUGUCCGUACUGAUUUGAUGGAUUCCUACCUUCUGAAUAACCAGCAUGCUAUUAAUUUAGUGCGUUGGGGAAGCAGAUCUAUUACCUUGAAAAAAUUAGAGUGCUUAAAGCGGGCUAGUGCUUGAAUAGAUUAGCAUGGAAUAAUAAAAUAGGACGGCAUGGUUCUAUUUUGUUGGUUUCUAGGAUCACCGUAAUGAUUAAUAGGGAUAGUUGGGGGCAUUAGUAUUCAAUUGUCAGAGGUGAAAUUCUUGGAUUUAUUGAAGACUAACUUCUGCGAAAGCAUUUGCCAAGGAUGUUUUCAUUAAUCAAGAACGAAAGUUAGGGGAUCGAAGACGAUCAGAUACCGUCGUAGUCUUAACCAUAAACUAUGCCGACUAGGAAUCGGACGAAGUUAAUUUUUUAAUGACUCGUUCGGCACCUUACG